GCUGUAGCUCAGUGCUAGAGCAUCUGCUUUGCACGCAGAAAGCCCCAAUUCUAAUCUCUGGCAUCUCCA